rnacentral:rRNA from 1 species
UACGGGGGGGAGCAAGCGUUGUUCGGAUUUACUGGGCGUAAAGGGCGCGUAGGCGGCGCAACAAGUCACUUGUGAAAUCUCCGGGCUUAACCCGGAGCGGUCAAGUGAUACUGUCGUGCUAGAGUGCGGAAGGGGCUACUGGAAUUCCAGGUGUAGCGGUGAAAUGCGUAGAUAUCUGGAGGAAUACCGGUGGCGAAGGCGGCAUCCUGGACCAUUACUGACGCGUGAGGCGGCGAAAGCUGAGGGGAGCAAACGGG